AGGGCCGGAGCCAAGCCAAGGUGAUGUUGUCCCUCGUGCGUCUACGCUGGCCCCCCACCGCCCCCCCGCCCCCCGGAAGCGAAAAUCCGCCACUUGCAUUACAUCAAACAUGUGACAGGCCCAGCACCUCAGCCAAGCCGUCACUGGCUCACGUCAGGAAUAAAGCGGCCUUUGCAAACCGCAAGGCACCAGCAACACGAUGCCAAAGAAGAAUAUCAAAGAUCAUACCUACCGAGGCAAAUGAUCGAAACACCAUCAAAAAACGCCACCAACCAUCGCAUCGGUAUUACCAAUUUUGAGGCCUUUUAUCAAAUCGUAGAGGUAUACAAAAAAUGUUUCUUAAUAAUAGAUGUUACUUCAUCGCAAUGAUUCAUCUGUAAUAGAAAUUGCAUCUAGUGUUUGAAAAAAAGUUAUGGUUGGGCGGAAUAAAAUUGCAUUUUUUUGGUAAAAGAUUACAUUUUUUAGUUCGAAUACUGGACGAUGAUAGCGGUAGGGUAAGGCACCGGCGGUGGCGGCAGUGGGCGGUCGUCGGCCUCAUCCUCUCCUCAAGGAGGCUGCCCAUGACUCAUUCGCGUCACCUAUAUUGGCAAGCCCCUCCAAUUCCUCCGUUCACCUGUAUCAUUCUCUUUUCUUCUCUUGAGUUCCAACGAAAGCAAUCUUUUUACCCUCUUUUUAUAUUUAUUAGGUUUCACAUUCCACUAUGGACUGCAAAGCUCCCUGCUUUUUGUUUUUCUUGAUAUUGUGCUCUUCUUAGAUUUAUUUAGUAGCUGCCAAGAAUUCUUUUCUGAAGUCAAAUACCAAAUUUUGCCCUACUUGCUCGUACAUGUAAAGCACUAAUAUUUUACGUGGAGUAUGGAGUUGUAGAUGGUAAUGGCGAGAGCAUCCAAGAUAAAGUAUACCCAUACUAUGGACGACACACACACACACACACGUACAAGGACUAUACAUGCGAGAUGUAGAGACUGUAUCUCUAACAUCACUCAUUCUUAGUUAUUUUGUUUGAGCUCAAUUUUGUUUAAUUUGCUACGGACCAUUUGCCUCCUGUUUAGAUUUAGAAAUCUCUCCUUCUUAUUUUUUGACAAAAAACUCUCCUUUUUAUCACCAUGAAUAUUCUGAUGCUUUUUUCCUACUUUGUUUCUGAAUUAAGUGGCUUUAACUUCUACAACUAAGCAACUUUUUCUUGGUUCCAUCCCUGUAAUUUUGGAAUAGAUCUUUGGGGGUCCUCAAUUGUGGUAUUCCAAAUUUUGAAUCGAUAUUUACGUUGAAAGGGCUAGGCCACUUGAAUUAUGGUAUGCCAGUAUAUGCCACAAAGAGUUGCCUUUGUCAAAGUUAUGGCUUUAUGUAACGUAAUAUAUGGAAUUAUAUGUUGUAUUCACAUGCUAUAUUACAGGUUUUUUGUCUCCCCAUACAUAUUGAGCUAUUCGUCAAGUGCUUGCUUCUCAAACUAAUAUUGUUAGAGACUUUGAGCGAUCUUCUAAAAGAAUCUGUUGUGAUGAUGUGCAGGUACUUUAUAAUUAUCCUCGAUCCAUCUUGUUUACAAUCAUGGAGAGGCCCUUGAAAGGACUGCAACGACACUCAAAAAGAGAUCGAGGAACUUCUGUUCUGAGAACUUUAUUUUGCUGCCAAGUAUAAACACGUGUCAUGUUGUUGGCAGGCACUGAAUGAGGCUUGAAGCAUGAUAGACAGAUUAGUGUUAUUAGAUGAGCUGACUAUCAGGACCUUUGAUGGCCUUAAUAUUCUCUGGGAAUUUGACUUGGACUAGUUUGAUGUCAUCGGGGUUGACUACUAGCUUGCCAUGUGAAUGUUUAUCUUUUAGCCAAUUUGUGGGACAGGCUUAUGGUAGCAUUCCCAGAGACUUCAAUUCUGAUUUUUCGAAGAAGCUGGUGAGAUUACAGGACACUGAAAUGCAAUUGCCUUUGUUGAGAUGUUGAUUACUAUUGAAAUUGUUGAAUUUGUUUUAUGGUCCAGAGGUUUAGUUUGUAUAUUUGACUUCCUCUGCGACAUAUUUGAGUCAAAGUAAUUAUGAAUCAGAGUUGGGCCUAACCUGGAGUCUUGGGCUGCAGUGAAUCAGAUCCAAGUUCUAUUUUACUUGAUCACCUAAUGGAUCCAUCUUCUUCAUGUCAACCCCAGUCAAUAUGGUAAUCAACUUAUCCUAGACCCAGAGCCCAAAUGGAUAGGAUAGAAAUAUACUGGACUUUUUGAUCCAACUUGAGCAGCUUGCAUCAAUAGUUUACCAUUCAAUUGAUGUUGAAUAAUGAAGAAGUGUCUAUUAAUAUGGUUGGAUAUUGUUGAAGAAUUGAAAACUCCUGUAUUAUGACUCAGCAAGUAGAAUAGAUCUUUGGAGCAGUGGUUGGAUAGAGGAUGGACUUUCCAAAUGAGUGACAGGUGACUUGGGAUUGUUGACUUUAGGCAAUUUCCGACUUUUUAUGCAAGAGUAAUUUUCAUAAUUUAUUCUUCUUGGUUAUAAUCCUCAUACAAAAUGUAUUAUUAUGAUGUAGUGUGUAAGAACUGUAUUAUUAUGAUGUAGUGUGUAAGACCUAUUAUUCUAAUAGAUUAUGAACACUGUCUAUGGUAACCUGGUUUUUCUUUCCUCAUGUUUCUAUUCUAAAUUCAUGGCGGGAAUUAUUUUUGUAUCAUUUUAUCUGUAUUGUUUGGUGGUAAGCUUAGUUGACAGGUAAUAUGUGCUUCAUGAGUGGAUUAUUUUUAGCAAAAUUUGAUAGGGACAACUGAGGAUGACCAUCUUUUCCAUAUGGCUCAGGAUAGUUUUAUAUCAAUAUCUAUACUUGAAUGUGCUACUUCUUGCACACAUUUUCUGUGACAUUGUUCAUUUAUUAAGCAUCCAUCUUUUAUUGCAGUUAAAGCAGAGGAGUUUAGUAAGACAUACUUGUCCAACAGUUGCUUUCUUGGCAUUGAAACUUUCUUAGAUUUUGUCCAAUCCAUUUGAUAUACUCAUGCCAUCCUUUAUUCAAACUCAAAUUCUUAUCUCAUUUAUUUGUUCUUAGGUUUGGGAUGUGACAUGAAUGUCCAUGAUGUCAGAUUUGUUUGCAUGCCUGUCCAUAUCAUAAGAAGGAUAAAACAACUUUACAAUCAUUCUUCAGGCCUGUAAAUUUGGAUAUUUGAAUGGGUGCAAAUUCCACCAUAGUCCAUCCAUGCAGGUAUCGGAAAUAUCUGAACUCAUCUAGUUCUUUCACAUUUUAUAGUUUGAGAAGUAAAGAUCAUAUGCUUUUUUCAGGUGGUGUAUAGUUAUAUCAGCCUCCUAAACAGUCUUACUUCCUUUACUAAACAUGACAUGAUUUCAUGCUCUAAAAUUACUGGACAAGUUAUUUGCUGCUCUUUAAUCUGCUGACCUCUGUUAUCAAUGGAUAUGCACAUGAUAAUGGAGUCUUGCAGCUUCCUUGUGGAAUAGGGGCGACAGAAUAUUGAAAUUUUGGCUUCUCAGUAUCUUAACUUUAGCUAACAAAAAUAUUCAAAUGUCAUGCAAAUGAUAGAGACAAAGGAACUGCAAAUUUCUUGCCUUGGGGUAGAAAGGAAAGAGCAUCACUCUCAAGAACUGACAUGGAGAACAUAAUGCUGAACUCGACCACAUUGCCUCCAUAAUUUAAUAGGUUCAUUAUUAACCAGGUCGAUGGUGUCAUUUUGAUUUUUGGAACUUUUUAUUGUUCCAUGUGGUUAUGAUUCAGAUGCUUUGCUUGCUGUAAGUCUCUUGACUUCUUGGGAACUUCCUACUUGUUUAUAUAAUUAAAGUGCAAAAGUUGGUCCAUAUGUAUACCUAUAUCUGCUAAUUAUUUAUUGCAAAGUGCUAUCUGUUUCAGGUUGUACAUUGGUUUUAGUACUUAUGUCCAUUCAUUUGCAUCCCUCAAAUUAGCGAGCGAAUGAUCCCAUGCAUUUCCUGUGCCUUUCUGGACUGUGGAGGUGGUAUUAGUUUCACUACGCCUAGCAAAUUGCAAUGGUUCCCUUCAAAUUUCCUACAUUGUUUCUGUUUGUUUGAAUAAUUACCUGAUUGUGAAUAUAUGCAAUUUUUUUCCCCUAACAAGCUAAAAUUGUUACACUGAUUGUUGAGUUGUUUACUGCUUGCUAUAUAUUUGCACCAGUUGCCUGUUGAUUUUGAGCUUUGUGCAUUGUGCAUUGCCUGAUCUUGGCUAGAUUCAAGACAUAUAGAUAUGCCCAUACGUUUCAUGCCUUUUUCGGCUGCAAUUAUGCAGUCUUGCAGCAUGUCUGCUGCCACUAUCAAACAAAUUCAGUUACUAUCAAUGGAAUACGUAGUAGUUCCUAAGAUGCAUGGUCUGGUAUCAACAACUUCUGAUGCUAUAUACAGGACCAAUUUUCACACUAUCAGUUGACCAUCUUCCUGUCAGGGAAUAGUGCUUGAUCAUGUACUAUGGCAUUGUCCUGUAUAAUUGGUCGAUCACAACUAAUUUAGUAGUGUUCUCACACUUCACUUUCUAGCAUGCAUUGAAUGGUCAACUGAUUGGGUGUUUCUCCAUGUUGAAACAAACGUGAAAAUGAUUUUGUAUAUAUUACUGCUUGGCCAAUGGGAAAUAAUAUCUUGGUUUUAUUUUUGUAAGGUAUGAGAUGCGGUGGAUAGUUGCCGCAUUAGCUGCAGCACCUACUCAGUCAUGUUAUAUGGGAUUUGGCAAUAUUAAUGCGUUAGUGAGUUCUAUUGCUAGGGAAGGUCUGCAAACAAUUCUCUGUGUUUGCUUCUCCUUUCCAUUAUCAUAUUGCGCUUAACAAAAAUUGGAAAAAUGGUGAAAGGAAGAUCUCUAGAGCACGAAGUGCUUACAAAUUAAAGUCGUGGUUAGUCAUUCAA
rnacentral:lncRNA from 1 species